rnacentral:tRNA from 1 species
CAGGUUAUAGCUCAGCGGUAGAGUGCCUGCUUAGCAUGCACAAAGUCCUGGGUUCCAUUCCCAGUACUUUCA